UAGGGAAUAUGCCUUAUGGUGGGGGACAACAGUUGGAAACUACUGCUAAUACCGCAUAACGUCUACGGACCAAAGGAGGGGAUCUUCGGACCUUUCGCCAUUUGAUUAGCCCAAGUGAGAUUAGCUAGUAGGUGAGGUAAAGGCUCACCUAGGCGACGAUCUCUAGCUGGUUUGAGAGGAUGAUCAGCCACACUGGGACUGAGACACGGCCCAGACUCCUACGGGAGGCAGCAGUGGGGAAUACUGCACAAUGGGCGAAAGCCUGAUGCAUCCAUGCCGCGUGUGUGAAGAAGGCCUUCGGGUUGUAAAGCACUUUCAGUUGUGAGGAAAGGGGUGUAGUUAAUAACUGCAUUCUGUGACGUUAACAACAGAAUAAGCACCGGCUAACUUCGUGCCAGCAGCCGCGG
rnacentral:rRNA from 1 species